rnacentral:ncRNA from 1 species
ACCCUUACCUGGCUAUCGAGCCGCCGCUCAAACACGGCGAUGAAGCUUGGAUGAAACUAAGCAGAGGUCCGAACCGACUGAUGUUGAAGAAUCAGCGGAUGAGUUGUGGUUAGGGGUGAAAUGCCACUCGAACCCAGAGCUAGCUGG